rnacentral:rRNA from 1 species
UGGGGAAUAUUGCACAAUGGACGGAAGUUUGAUGCAGCGACGCCGCGUGGAGGGUGUAGGCCUUCGGGUUGUGAACUCCUUUUUCUCGCGAAAAAGGCACAGUUUUGGCUGUGUUGAUGGUAGUGGGGGAAGAAGCGCCGGCUAACUACGUGCCAGCAGCCGCGGUAAUACGUAGGGCGCGAGCGUUGUCCGGAUUUAUUGGGCGUAAAGAGCUCGUAGGUGGUUCGUCGCGUCUGUCGUGAAAGCCAGCAGCUUAACUGUUGGUCUGCGGUGGGUACGGGCGGGCUUGAGUGCGGUAGGGGUGACUGGAAUUCCUGGUGUAGCGGUGGAAUGCGCAGAUAUCAGGAGGAACACCGAUGGCGAAGGCAGGUCACUGGGCCGUUACUGACACUGAUGAGCGAAAGCGUGGGGAGCGAACAGG